UACGUAGGGUGCAAGCGUUGUCCGGAAUUAUUGGGCGUAAAGAGCUCGUAGGCGGUUUGUCGCGUCUGCUGUGAAAACCCGAGGCUCAACCUCGGGCCUGCAGUGGGUACGGGCAAACUAGAGUGCGGUAGGGGAGAAUGGAAUUCCUGGUGUAGCGGUGGAAUGCGCAGAUAUCAGGAGGAACACCGAUGGCGAAGGCAGUUCUCUGGGCCGUAACUGACGCUGAGGCGCGAAAGCGUGGGUAGCAAACAGG
rnacentral:rRNA from 1 species